UACUUACUCCCUCCGUCCGGAAAUACUUGCCAUCAAAAUGAAUAAAAGGCGAUGUAUCUAGAUGUAUUUUAGUUCUAGAUACAUCCCUUUUUGUCCAUUUUGAUGACAAGUAUUUUCGGACGGAGGGAGUAUUAU
rnacentral:pre_miRNA from 1 species